rnacentral:rRNA from 1 species
GAUGAACGCUGGCGGCGUGCCUAGCACAUGCAAGUCGAACGGAAAGGCCCUGCUUUUGUGGGGUUCUCGAGUGGCGAACGGGUGAGUAACACGUGAGUAACCUGCCCCUGACUUUGGGAUAACUCCAGGAAACAGGGGCUAAUAUCGCAUAGGAGCUCCUGCUGCACGGUGGGGGUUGGAAAGUUUCGGCGGUUGGGGAUGGACUCGCGGCUUAUCAGCUUGUUGGUGGGGUAGUGGCUUACCAAGGCUUUGACGGAUAGCCGGCCUGGGAGGGUGACCGGGGACAAUAGGACUGAGAGACGGCGCAGACUCGUAUGGGAGGCAGCGGGGGGGAGUAUGACGCAGUGGGCGGGAGCGUGAGACGACGGCGCCGGGUGCGGGAUGACGGCCUUCGGGUUAUGAACCGCUUUCGCCUGUGACGAAGCGUGAGUGACGGUAAUGGGUAAAGAAGCACCGGCUAACUACGUG